rnacentral:rRNA from 1 species
UACAGAGGGGGCGAGCGUUGUUCGGAAUUACUGGGCGUAAAGGGCGCGUAGGCGGCCUGCUAAGUCGAACGUGAAAUCCCCGGGCUCAACCCGGGAACUGCGUCCGAGACUGGCAGGCUCGAAUCCGGGAGAGGGAUGUGGAAUUCCAGGUGUAGCGGUGAAAUGCGUAGAUAUCUGGAGGAACACCGGUGGCGAAGGCGGCAUCCUGGACCGGUAUUGACGCUGAGGCGCGAAAGCCAGGGGAGCAAACGGG